rnacentral:rRNA from 1 species
AACCCACCUAGGAUAACCUAGGUAUCUUGUACUGAAUCCAUAGGUGCAAGAGGCGAACCAGGGGAACUGAAACAUCUAAGUACCCUGAGGAAAAGAAAUCAACCGAGAUUCCCUUAGUAGUGGCGAGCGAACGGGGAUUAGCCCUUAAGCUUCAUUGAUUUUAGCGGAACGCUCUGGAAAGUGCGGCCAUAGUGGGUGAUAGCCCCGUACGCGAAAGGAUCUUUGAAGUGAAAUCGAGUAGGACGGAGCACGAGAAACUUUGUCUGAACAUGGGGGGACCAUCCUCCAAGGCUAAAUACUACUGACUGACCGAUAGUGAACCAGUACCGUGAGGGAAAGGCGAAAAGAACCCCGGAGAGGGGAGUGAAAUAGAACCUGAAACCGUAUGCGUACAAGCAGUGGGAGCCUACUUGUUAGGUGACUGCGUACCUUUUGUAUAAUGGGUCAGCGACUUAUAUUCAGUGGCAAGCUUAACCGUAUAGGGUAGGCGUAGCGAAAGCGAGUCUUAAUAGGGCGUUUAGUCGCUGGGUAUAGACCCGAAACCGGGCGAUCUAUCCAUGAGCAGGUUGAAGGUUAGGUAACACUGACUGGAGGACCGAACCCACUCCCGUUGAAAAGGUAGGGGAUGACUUGUGGAUCGGAGUGAAAGGCUAAUCAAGCUCGGAGAUAGCUGGUUCUCCUCGAAAGCUAUUUAGGUAGCGCCUCAUGUAUCACUCUGGGGGGUAGAGCACUGUUUCGGCUAGGGGGUCAUCCCGACUUACCAAACCGAUGCAAACUCCGAAUACCCAGAAGUGCCGAGCAUGGGAGACACACGGCGGGUGCUAACGUCCGUCGUGAAAAGGGAAACAACCCAGACCGCCAGCUAAGGUCCCAAAGUUGUGGUUAAGUGGUAAACGAUGUGGGAAGGCUUAGACAGCUAGGAGGUUGGCUUAGAAGCAGCCAUCCUUUAAAGAAAGCGUAAUAGCUCACUAGUCGAGUCGGCCUGCGCGGAAGAUGUAACGGGGCUCAAACCACACACCGAAGCUGCGGGUGUCACGUAAGUGACGCGGUAGAGGAGCGUUCUGUAAGCCUGUGAAGGUGAGUUGAGAAGCUUGCUGGAGGUAUCAGAAGUGCGAAUGCUGACAUGAGUAACGACAAUGGGUGUGAAAAACACCCACGCCGAAAGACCAAGGGUUCCUGCGCAACGUUAAUCGACGCAGGGUUAGUCGGUUCCUAAGGCGAGGCUGAAAAGCGUAGUCGAUGGGAAACAGGUUAAUAUUCCUGUACUUCUGGUUACUGCGAUGGAGGGACGGAGAAGGCUAGGCCAGCUUGGCGUUGGUUGUCCAAGUUUAAGGUGGUAGGCUGAAAUCUUAGGUAAAUCCGGGGUUUCAAGGCCGAGAGCUGAUGACGAGUCGUCUUUUAGAUGACGAAGUGGUUGAUGCCAUGCUUCCAAGAAAAGCUUCUAAGCUUCAGGUAACCAGGAACCGUACCCCAAACCGACACAGGUGGUCGGGUAGAGAAUACCAAGGCGCUUGAGAGAACUCGGGUGAAGGAACUAGGCAAAAUGGCACCGUAACUUCGGGAGAAGGUGCGCCGGCUAGGGUGAAGGAUUUACUCCGUAAGCUCUGGCUGGUCGAAGAUACCAGGCCGCUGCGACUGUUUAUUAAAAACACAGCACUCUGCAAACACGAAAGUGGACGUAUAGGGUGUGACGCCUGCCCGGUGCCGGAAGGUUAAUUGAUGGGGUUAGCGCAAGCGAAGCUCUUGAUCGAAGCCCCGGUAAACGGCGGCCGUAACUAUAACGGUCCUAAGGUAGCGAAAUUCCUUGUCGGGUAAGUUCCGACCUGCACGAAUGGCGUAACGAUGGCGGCGCUGUCUCCACCCGAGACUCAGUGAAAUUGAAAUCGCUGUGAAGAUGCAGUGUAUCCGCGGCUAGACGGAAAGACCCCGUGAACCUUUACUGUAGCUUUGCACUGGACUUUGAGCCUGCUUGUGUAGGAUAGGUGGGAGGCUUUGAAGCGUGGACGCCAGUUCGCGUGGAGCCAUCCUUGAAAUACCACCCUGGCAUGCUUGAGGUUCUAACUCUGGUCCGUGAUCCGGAUCGAGGACAGUGUAUGGUGGGCAGUUUGACUGGGGCGGUCUCCUCCUAAAGAGUAACGGAGGAGUACGAAGGUGCGCUCAGACCGGUCGGAAAUCGGUCGCAGAGUAUAAAGGCAAAAGCGCGCUUGACUGCGAGACAGACACGUCGAGCAGGUACGAAAGUAGGUCUUAGUGAUCCGGUGGUUCUGUAUGGAAGGGCCAUCGCUCAACGGAUAAAAGGUACUCCGGGGAUAACAGGCUGAUACCGCCCAAGAGUUCAUAUCGACGGCGGUGUUUGGCACCUCGAUGUCGGCUCAUCACAUCCUGGGGCUGAAGCCGGUCCCAAGGGUAUGGCUGUUCGCCAUUUAAAGUGGUACGCGAGCUGGGUUUAGAACGUCGUGAGACAGUUCGGUCCCUAUCUGCCGUGGACGUUUGAGAUUUGAGAGGGGCUGCUCCUAGUACGAGAGGACCGGAGUGGACGAACCUCUGGUGUUCCGGUUGUCACGCCAGUGGCAUUGCCGGGUAGCUAUGUUCGGAAAAGAUAACCGCUGAAAGCAUCUAAGCGGGAAACUUGCCUCAAGAUGAGAUCUCACUGGGAACUUGAUUCCCCUGAAGGGCCGUCGAAGACUACGACGUUGAUAGGCUGGGUGUGUAAGCGUUGUGAGGCGUUGAGCUAACCAGUACUAAUUGCCCGUGAGGCUUGACCAU